ACGUCCACACUGUUGCUUGCUCUGUCUUGUUAGUGAUGGAAACUUAUCAGUGUGGACAAAGAGCAAUUUAUCAUCUAUAAAGGAGGCAUUUCUUUAGUUUAGAUAAUGUCUUAAAGGCACGAUGAUACAAU